CGUGAUUUAAAUUUUAAAAAA
rnacentral:piRNA from 1 species